UGCUCACUUUGGCAGCGCAUUACUAAAAUUGGAAUGAUACAGAGAGAAUUAGCAUGACCCCUGCACAAAGGUGACAUGGAAAUUCAUGAAGCAGGGUAGCACAGU